GGGACAUGGGAAAGGAAGCAGAUGUCCAGGGGCUCAGAGCUGGUAAUUGCGAAAGCGAGUUCCCAGUCCCAUUGAUAACAGAAGGGACUGCCAGAGGGCUUCAGCGACCGCUUUCCCACCAAGUGCCUCUUGCAGUGCCACGGCAUUUCACAUUUCUUACGCACCGCAGCUUAUGAGGAGAGUAGGAGCUUCACCUCAAAGUCUUCAACAGGUGGUAUAUCUAUAUAAAGGGAAAGAAAGAGGAUUCUCAAGCUCAAGAAGCGUGGAGAGAUGGAGGGCAGCGUGACCUCAGUGAUUUCUACCACUUUAAUCAUGUGCCUAGCAUUUACAGGGUUGGAUGGAGCCAAGUAUUCUCCCUGUGACCGGCUUACGUUUGACAACGAGGUCUACAACCACUGCAUACCGCUGUACAGGCAAAGAAUGGCAACCAGCAACUACCAGCUGGAAUGCCCUUGGCCCAACACUAAAGGGUAUUAUGUCCAACUGGACGACUGCGUGAAGAAAGCGAUAACCCGCUCCUUCUGCGGAGAACCCUCUCUGAAGAACGAUAUCUUCCUGAAGCUCCAUCAAACCUAUUUCCCCCUCUGCUUCUUCAUGCAGGACCCAGGCUUGCACGUCCUGCUGCUGCUCACGCUGCCCUGCAUCAUCAUCACCUUCCUCAUGCCCUUCUUCUGCGUGUGCCUCAAAGACUUCUGACUGUACCUCAGUUACUUCUGGACAAACCGAGUCGACAGGAAACCCACCCUGUU
rnacentral:lncRNA from 1 species